GGCGCUGUAGCUUAGUGGUAAAGCGCCUGUCUCGUAAACAGGAGGUCCUGGGUUCAAUUCCCAGCAGUGCCU